rnacentral:rRNA from 1 species
UACGUAGGGUGCAAGCGUUUAAUCGGAAUUACUGGGCGUAAAGCGUGCGCAGGCGGCUUUGCAAGACAGAUGUGAAAUCCCCGGGCUUAACCUGGGAACUGCAUUUGUGACUGCAUGGCUGGAGUGCGGCAGAGGGGGAUGGAAUUCCGCGUGUAGCAGUGAAAUGCGUAGAUAUGCGGAGGAACACCGAUGGCGAAGGCAGCCCCCCUGGGCUAACACUGACGCUCAUGCACGAAAGCGUGGGGAGCAAACAGG